GGGAAAAUAGUUAAAUGGUAUAACCAUGGUCUCCAAAACCAUUAUUGAGAGUUCGAUUCUUUCUUUUCCCG
rnacentral:tRNA from 1 species